AUAUCGAGCACCUACGUCACUG
rnacentral:siRNA from 1 species